AAACUCAAAGGAAUUGACGGGGGCCCGCACAAGCAGCGGAGCAUGUGGUUUAAUUCGAAGCAACGCGAAGAACCUUACCUAGACUUGACAUCUCCUGAAUAGUGUAGAGAUACGUGAAGCCCUUCGGGGCAGGAAGACAGGUGGUGCAUGGUUGUCGUCAGCUCGUGUCGUGAGAUGUUGGGUUAAGUCCCGCAACGAGCGCAACCCUUAUCAUUAGUUGCUACCAUUAAGUUGAGCACUCUAGUGAGACUGCCCGGGUUAACCGGGAGGAAGGCGGGGAUGACGUCAAAUCAUCAUGCCCCUUAUGUCUAGGGCUACACACGUGCUACAAUGAUGAGAACAACGAGAUGCAAUACCGCGAGGUGGAGCCAAACUUGAAAACUCAUCCCCAGUUCGGAUUGCAGGCUGAAAUUCGCCUACAUGAAGUUGGAGUUGCUAGUAAUCGCGAAUCAGAAUGUCGCGGUGAAUACGUUCCCGGGCCUUGUACACACCGCCCGUCACACCAUGAGAGCUGGUAACACCCGAAGUCCGUGAGGUAACCUUUAUGGGGCCAGCGGCCGAAGGUGGGAUUAGUGAUUGGGGUGAAGUCGUAACAAGGUAGCCGUAGGAGA
rnacentral:rRNA from 1 species